rnacentral:lncRNA from 1 species
GGGCACUCGGGCCGGGUCCCGCGGGCGCCUUGUGCUCGCUCCCUCCAGGAGGGGACGGCUCUCGGGCAGGGGUCGCCGGCCCCUCCACGCGGCCUGCGUUCGUCCAGACUCAGAGCCUCGGGACGUGCGGGGGCCCGGGGGCCUCGCGGGCUCGCGCGUGGGGCUGGCGGCGCGGAUGCCCUGGGGCGCUGCAGACCCCGAGAGGCCGCUUGCCCGCGGGGACGUCAGCCGCUUUUGCUGUUAAAAUCUGAAAUGUUCAGCAAGUUAGAAACUUGAAACCUAAGGAAGCGUGACCGGCCGCUCUGGAAGCCCCCGCCGCGCGGCCGGUCCCGGCCCCGGCCCUCAGCGGCGCUGGCGUCUGCGCGUCCCGGGGCUGCCCCCGCAGCAUGUGGGGCUGGGACCCUCUUCCCGCGCGGGCCCCGGGCGGACGCUGCGGGCGGUGACGGAGCCAGGCCGGCCGCCUGGGUAGGGGACGGGGGCGCGGGACCACUUGCUUGCCCGUGGCCGAUGCCUCAUCCGAACGGAAAACGUUUUCUUCAGGGGAGACAGAGGCUGUGGGCGAAGGUAUUUUUUAAGCCUGAGGACCCAUUUGGGAGUUAGAUUCUGGAUCGAGCCUAGGGUCAGUUUUCCUUGUGUUAAAUAACACUACUUCACAGAAGGGGGAACGAGAAUUCAGGGGAGUUGGCACAAAACUUGGAACCCUUCUCGGGAGGCUUUCCUGCCUGGACGGACGCCUGGGAGGAGGGCCCGGAGAAACGAGGAUGAGCUUCUCCUCAUUCGCCCGAGGGUCUGACCACAGAUUUCCCAAUCGCCACACACACACACACACACACACACACACACACACACACACGGGUUGUUUGGGAGUCAGUUGGUUUUCAAAGGCUUUCAAGGAAAUGAAGAGUCCCAAAGUUUUCCUUAAUCGUUCAGAGUGUUUUUCUUUGUCCCAGGUUUAUAUACCAAGAAUACGGGGGAAUAUUUUUAGUUCCUUUCAGCUGAACAGUGUACAACUGCCUUUUUUCCUUUUGGAGGUCCCAACACCCUGUUAAUCCGCUCCUAGGAGAACUAAACAAAAACAAGGCUGGACGUCGUGUCUCCCGCCUGUAAUCCCAGUGCUUUGGGAGGCUGAGGCAGGAGGAUCAGUUGAGCUCAGGAGUUUGAGACCGGCUUGGUUAACAUAGCAAGACCUCACCUCUAUAAAAUACUUUUAAAAUAGCCAGGUGUGGUGGCACACGCCUGUGGGGCCGGCUACUUGGGAGCCUGAGGUGGGAGGAUGGCGUGAGCCUGGGAGGUUGAGGCUGCAGUGAGCUGUCAUUGCACCACUGCACUCCAGCCUGAGCAAGAGAACAAGGCCCUGUCUCAAAAAAGAACAAAGAUAAAAGGCGGGGUGGGGGAGAAACCAGGCCCCUGAUCACACUCACCAUUCAGUCCCUCAGCCUGUGACUUGAAAUACUGCCCCCCGCAUCCAGGAAGCAGGCUUCCCCACCCCUCCCACCCUAGCCAGAGUCUUCCAAAAGGUCUUAGGUAUUUGCAAACACCUGGCUGGCUGUUUGGAAACAUUGCAUCAGCACCAAAUAAAAACUGCAGCCAAAACUGCCUCCGCAGAACAGGUCCCCAAACUCAGGUGCACUUGACCUUUCACCCUGACCCAGCCCUGAGCUUCCAAAACCCAGAACAGCCCUGUGCCAACCAUGGCCAUCCUGUUUUCCCUUCCCUGGGCCCGUGGGCAAGGAGCUCGCUCUGCAGAGAAAGGCAGGAAGCACAGAGGAAAAGGCCAAGCUUGGAACGGCUGUCCCGUCUCCCCACUGGGGGAACCCCUGGCACCCUCAUAACUAAGUCUGUGCUUCAACCUGGUCUCUGUUACCCAAUGUCUUUUGUUGUUGUUUGUGUCCUUGACCCCCCGAGGCUGUAUUUCCUCUCAGAAGCUUUGAUUUCUUUUCUGUUUUCUGGUCUUCCGUGCCUUUAACACGAGGAAAAAUAAAACACAUGGUGUGAG